CCACGUGUCAGCAUCAUGUAAAUCAAGCUUUGAUUCCCAGUAGAAAAUAAUUUCCUAAUUGCAAAUUAUUCAUUUUAUGGAUAUUUUACUAGCAGCCCCAACAGAGCCAGUAGUUUUAAAUUUAUAUACCUCUGUCAAAAGGAAUACACCGUUAAGAGGUUUAAUCAUAGCACCUGAAAAAGUACAAAUGUUCUCCUUGUAAAUAUCAUGGAUACAUAAUAGCUUCUCAGUCAGUUAUACCCCAGAAGAUUAAAUUAAAUACUAACAACUUAUGUACCUUAAAUGAUUAUCAAAAAUUAGUAUGUGAUAUUAACUGGCUUCACCCCACCUUAGGCAUAACUACUGAUAAGUUACAAAACCUGUUUUCUAUCCUAAAGGGCAAUACAGCCCUAGACUCUCCCAAGUAUUUAACGCCUGCACCAAAAAGGGAAAAUGAGGAAAUAGAUCAAGCUAUUUCUUAGAGGCAACUAAAUCACAUAGACCCACAAUAUUUAGUGGAAUUGUUUGUUUUUUUCCUACUAAACAUUCCCCAGCAGGAUUAAUAGGACAGAUGGCCCAGGGCUAGUACACCUCCUAGAAUGGAUUUUUUUACCCACAUACUGGGACUAAAACACUAUCUAUCCAUAUAUGGCUAGUUAGUAAAGUAAUCUAUACAGGCCACAGACAAUGCAAUCCGUUGCUAGGUUAUGACCCUGAUGUCAUAAAUCCCUUGAGUAAAAAAAAAUUCCAAGCAGUCUUGUCCUUAUCUCUGGACCUGCAGAUAGCAGUAUCUGAUUAUGCAGGCCAUAUAGAACAUGCCCUUCCUGCUGACAAAUUACUUCAGUUCUUACCUCAUACUCCUGUAGUUAUGCCUACAAAGCACGAUGCAUCAAAUCAUACCAUGGUGUGGCUAGGACCCAACCCAGUAGGAGAAAUGAAGGGAAUGACCCUACAGGACCUGCAGCCCCGGAUGAUGCAACUUCCUUGGAUGACACGAGCCCUGGACAUUACCUGGGGGAUGCUGAAGAUGACAACCCAGGAGGCUGAGCAAAUCCUACCCUGGACACAGACACCAUUCACUCCAGAUAAUUUGUUCCUUGCUAUGCUUUCUGUUGUACAUUGCAACUCUUGUAGGAUAUUGGCUUUUCUUAUUUUCUCACUCUGGUUGCAACUGGUACCUGCUACACUCUAUUAAGCCCAUCUUCUAAAUCUGCCUUUCUUCUGCACUGUUACCUGUGCAGAUACUCCCUUCCCAGCCUCUAAUAACGUAACCGCUUGGCUAGGAGGGAUUGACCUACCCGCCAUGGGUUUCCUUAGUAAUGGCACAGAUUGGACUGAGGAGCCAAGCAACACUACAUAUCACUCCUUGACUGGAAAAGAAUGUUACGAAUUAUACUCAUGUUUGUCUCAUUAUUUACUAAUUCUAGGAUGCAAAGCCAGAAUACAAGCAGCAACCACUACACCAGACAAACCUUUUGCUGCACACAUCUGUAUUCUUCAAUCAACAAAACCUGACACAAACAAAAAGAAAAUGGGGAGAUGUCAGAGAUCAGUCAGCAUGGUGGGAAAAAUUAUAGGGAAAGACCCAAACCUUCUUGGAAGGCUGGGAUGUUUAGCACAGCUUCAGGACAGAAUAAAAGCUGAAGGCAGCUAAUUCCCUUACCCUGAAGCAGAAGGCAAAUGGUAAAUAACAUGGGAAUAUAAAGAUCCUUAUCUAGAUAAAUUGGUUCACUUAUGUCUCCAGAAACCAACCUCUGAUCAUUUGCACAGAGGACUGCUCUCUAUUCGGGGGGUCAGCAGUGUUAAUCACCCACAAACUGUGCUUGCUCCAGGCCUUUGCCAUUAAAUCUGUACUAAGUAAAUACAAAUAGCUCUGGCUUAUUGGGGUGGCACUCUUGUCAGCAGUGCUAAGCCGUGCAGUCCCCUAGCCGCACUCUCAGGGAAAGUACCUGUGUCUGCCUACUCCUUUCAUCCAUCGCUCGGCCACGGUCUGUGGGACAGACCCAGCACUUUACAAUUCCAACAUCUGUAUUGUAUUUAGUUCAAAAUUUACGACUUUCUUAUUUGUUUCUCAGUUCAUUGAAAUUAAAAUGUACUCUUUAGUCAGCAGGUACUGUAUAUAUGUGUGCUGAAGUGGAUCGAAUGGCUCCUUGAGGCAACUUUAGAAGGGGAGUUGAACAUAGGCUGUGCAAAGUUUUCAUCUGCCCCAUAGCUAACCAUUCUUUUAUUGAACUGGUAGCCUUCAUCCAUAUCUGGUAUAGACAGUCUUAUACAGAUCAAUUUAACUUCUGUUUUUCUCAAGAAAGAAAGAUAUGUGUGAGCUGGUAAGUGACUUCAGAGGAUUAAUAAGCAGGCACUGAUACAACAUAUAACUUAAAGAGGUAAGGAUGCUUAGCAUUCCCUCUGACAAGAAUUCAGCACAGUUGGUCAGGUUUUCUUAUUGGCUACCAUUUACUGUUGCUAAACUUGUGUUAAUUUCUGUCACUGGGCGAGAAGAGCUAACCUUCUUCAGGCAAUGCACUUAGUUCAAUACAUUAGUGGUUGCUUGGUGUGUAGGCAAAAGGAGGAUUGCAAAGUCAAGCCUGCAGUUAAAAAUGGAAAUGUAACUGUGUUGCAGUUCUUAAUAAUAUAAAUACAUAUUUUUAUGUUUUCGCCUUUUACGAUGUACAUUUACACAUGAAUAAUUGGUAUUAACAUUACUAAUUACUAAGAGAGUUAGCUUCAAUUCUUUUUAUUUUAAUUUUUAUUUCAAUAGCUUUAGGGAUACAAGUGGCUUUUGGUUGCAUGGAUGAAUUGUGUAGCCGUGAAGUCUGGGAUUUUAGUGCACCUAUCACCUAAAUACCGUACCUUGUACUCAAUAGUUUUCCAUCCCUCACCUUCUCCUGCCCAGCCUCCUUCAUGAGCCUCCAGUGCCCAUGAUACCACUCUGUAUGCCUUAGCAUACCCACAGUUUAAUUUCCACCUGUAAGUGAGAACAUGUAAUGUUUGGUUUUCAAUUCCUGAGUUACUUCACUUAGAAUAAAAGCCUCCAGCUCCAUCCAAAUUGUGCAAAAGACACUUUUGUUCUUUUCUUAUGGCUUAGUUGUAUUCCAUAGUAUAUUUAUAUGGAUAUAUACCACCUUUUCUUUAUUCACUCAUUGGUUGAUAGGAAUUUAGGUUGGUUCCAUAUCUUUUAAGUUGUAAACUGUGCUGCAGUAGAGGGAUUACCAAGCAUAUAUCUAAUUUACAUACACAUAAAAGUUUCUUUUCCAUAUAAUGACUUAUUUUCCUUUGGGUAGAUAGCCAGCAGUGGGAUCUCUGGAUUGAAUGGUAAAUCUAUUCUUACUUGAGAAAUCUC